AGUGAACGCUGGCGGUAGGCCUAACACAUGCAAGUCGAACGGCAGCACAGUAAGAGCUUGCUCUUACGGUUGGCGAGUGGCGGACGGGUGAGGAAUACAUCGGAAUCUACUUUUUCGUGGGGGAUAACGUAGGGAAACUUACGCUAAUACCGCAUACUACCUACGGGUGAAAGCAGGGGAUCUUCGGACCUUGCGCGAUUGAAUGAGCCGAUGUCGGAUUAGCUAGUUGGCGUGGUAAAGGCCCACCAAGGCGACGAUGCGUAGCUGGUCUGAGAGGAUGAUCAGCCACACUGGAACUGAGACACGGUCCAGACUCCUACGGGAGGCAGCAGUGGGGAAUAUUGGACAAUGGGCGAAAGCCUGAUGUAGCCAUACCGCGUGAGUGAAGAAGGCCUUCGGGUUGUAAAGCCCUGUUGUUGGGAAAGAAAAGCAGCAGGUUAAUACCCCGCUGUUCUGACGGUACCCAAAGAAUAAGCACCGGCUAACUUCGUG
rnacentral:rRNA from 1 species